rnacentral:rRNA from 1 species
UACGUAGGGGGCAAGCGUUGUCCGGAUUUAUUGGGCGUAAAGAGCGUGUAGGCGGCCAUGCAGGUCCGUUGUGAAAACUCGAGGCUCAACCUCGAGACGUCGGUUGAAACCGCUUGGCUAGAGUCCGGAAGAGGAGAGUGGAAUUCCCGGUGUAGCGGUGAAAUGCGCAGAUAUCGGGAAGAACACCCGUGGCGAAGGCGGCUCUCUGGGACGGUACUGACGCUGAGACGCGAAAGCGUGGGGAGCGAACAGG